UAACCGCUGAAAGCAUCUAAGCGGGAAGCCGGCUUCGAGAUGAGAUUUCCUUGCCCCUUUGAGGGUGUGAGGCCCCCAGCUAGAACACUGGGUUGAUAGGCUGGAUGUGGAAGCGAGGACUGAAGACUCGUGAAGCUGACCAGUACUAAUAGGCCGAUGACUUACACACA
rnacentral:rRNA from 1 species